rnacentral:rRNA from 1 species
AGCAGCCGCGGUAAUUCCAGCUCCAAUAGCGUAUAUUAAAGUUGUUGCAGUUAAAAAGCUCGUAGUUGAAUUUCGGGAUUGACGUGACGGUCGUGCCUUAAGGGGUAUGAACUGUCGCAGUUGAUUUCUCACCUUCUGGAGAAGCUUGAUGUCCUUAAUUGGGUGUCAUGUGGAACCAGGACCUUUACCUUGAAAAAAUUAGAGUGUUUAAAGCAGGCAUUUUGCUCGAAUACAUUAGCAUGGAAUAAUAGAAUAGGACGGCAUGGUUCUAUUUUGUUGGUUUCUAGGAUCACCGUAAUGAUUAAUAGGGAUAGUUGGGGGCAUUAGUAUUCAAUUGUCAGGGGUGAAAUUCUUGGAUUUAUUGAAGACUAACUACUGCGAAAGCAUUUGCCAAGGAUGUUUUCAUUAAUCAAGAACGAAAGUUAGGGGAUCGAAGACGAUCAGAUACCG